rnacentral:rRNA from 1 species
AUGAACGCUGGCGGCGUGCCUAAUACAUGCCAGUCGAGCGAACGGACGAGAAGCUUGCUUCUCUGAUGUUAGCGGCGGACGGGUGAGUAACACGUGGAUAACCUACCUAUAAGACUGGGAUAACUUCGGGAAACCGGAGCUAAUACCGGAUGAUAUUUUGAACCGCAUGGUUCAAAAGUGAAAGACGGUCUUGCUGUCACUUAUAGAUGGAUCCGCGCUGCAUUAGCUAGUUGGUAAGGUAACGGCUUACCAAGGCAACGAUGCAUAGCCGACCUGAGAGGGUGAUCGGCCACACUGGAACUGAGACACGGUCCAGACUCCUACGGGAGGCAGCAGUAGGGAAUCUUCCGCAAUGGGCGAAAGCCUGACGGAGCAACGCCGCGUGAGUGAUGAAGGUCUUCGGAUCGUAAAACUCUGUUAUUAGGUAAGAACAUAUGUGUAAGUAACUGUGCACAUCUUGACGGUACCUAAUCAGAAAGCCACGGCUAACUACGUG